rnacentral:rRNA from 1 species
UACGGGGGGUGCGAGCGUUAAUCGGAAUAACUGGGCGUAAAGGGCACGCAGGCGGAUUUUUAAGUGAGGUGUGAAAUCCCCGGGCUUAACCUGGGAAUUGCAUUUCAUACUGGGUCGCUAGAGUACUUUAGGGAGGGGUAGAAUUCCACGUGUAGCGGUGAAAUGCGUAGAGAUGUGGAGGAAUACCGAAGGCGAAGGCAGCCCCUUGGGAAUGUACUGACGCCCAUGUGCGAAAGCGUGGGGAGCAAACAGG